rnacentral:rRNA from 1 species
CCUACGGGGAGCAGCAGUGGGGGAUAUUGGACAAUGGGGGGAACCCUGAUCCAGCGACGCCGCGUGAGUGAAGAAGUAUUUCGGUAUGUAAAGCUCUGUCAGCAGGGAAGAAAGAAAUGACGGUACCUGACCAAGAAGCCUCGGCUAACUACGUGCCAGCAGCCGCGGGAAUACGUAGGGGGCAAGCGUUAUCCGGAAUUACUGGGUGUAAAGGGAGCGUAGACGGUUAAGUAAGUCUGGAGUGAAAGGCCGGGGCCCAACCCCGGGACUGCUCUGGAAACUAUUGAACUUGAGUGCAGGAGAGGUAAGCGGAAUUCCUAGUGUAGCGGUGAAAUGCGUAGAUAUUAGGAGGAACACCAGUGGCGAAGGCGGCUUACUGGACUGUAACUGACGUUGAGGCUCGAAAGCGUGGGGAGCAAACAGGAUUAGAUACCCUAGUAGUC